UCCACUAGCAGCUUUUGGAUGAAGACGUAGAACUCUCAGCUCUGCCUGUGCCAUGCCUGCCUGAAUACUGCCAUGCUCUUGAUGAUAAUAGACUGAACCUCUGAACCUAUAAUGCUCAAGUCACCUAUGGUGACAAAUCUUUCCUGAGUCUACUGAUCAAAAUGCUAAGCUCCAUAGAAGAAUCCUCAAAGAUCUAUCAAGCAAUGUUUUAACAGCUGUCUGAAAAUCUCACAACUCACUAGGCUUGGUGGAUACAUUACCACAGUCAUCACAAAGCCUUUGUGGUAUGAGCAAAACUGUAAGGAAAGAACUACAGGAACACAAAUGGAGAAAAUCCCGAGGAAAAGAAAGUCCAGUGACAAGUCCAAAUUGAGAUCCAGCUCAGGGGGAGACCCCAAGGCCUGACACUAUUACUGAUGCUACGGUGUUCAUACAAACAGGGGUCUAUCAUGACUGACUCCUGAAAGGCCCAACAAACAGUUGAAAGAGUCAGAUGCAGAUACUUAUACUCAACCAAUGGACGAAAGCUGGUGACCCCUGUGGAAAAAGCUGAAGAAGCUGAGGAGGAGGGUGGCCCUAAAUGAAGACCAGCAGUCUCAACUAUCCUGGACCCCCAGGAUUUUUCAGACACUGAGCUACUAACUAAGCAGCAUACACUAAUUGAUGUCAGAUCCCCAACACAUGUGCAGCAGAGAGCUGCAAGGUCUGGACUCAGUCAGAGAAAAUGCAACUAAACCUCAUGAGACUUGGAGCCCCAGGGAGUGGGGAGAUCUGGUGGAGUUGGGGGUCACAACAACCUCUUGGAGGCUGGGUGGGGGGAAGGAGGUAUGGAACGUUGAACUGUAGGAGGGUGGAAUGCGAGGGGGAUAAAGACUGUACUUUAAAUAAAGAUUAAAGAAUAUAAAUAAGUCAUAAUAAUUUUAAAAAUCAGCUGCUAUUCUAGGUUUCUGAAAAUGACAAAACAUGUUCCAUCCUGUGUCAUUAAUAUGAGAAAACGAAUAGAUAAAAGUAAAAUAAUUUCAUCAUAAUAUAUAACCAUACAUUUGUUCUUUUUUUCUCUUUUUCUUUGGAGAAGAAAAUUAUCAUGGCAUUUAUUUUCUCCUUGCAUAUUUUUAUAUAUACAUCAAAUUGUCAUAGUUUAUGCCAUAAAUAAAAGUAAGUAUGUAUUAAUUAAAAUAGUUUUAAAGUAAUAUUUGAUUAGACUAUUUAUCAUCUGUUCAUUAUUUUACAAAUCUUUACUCCUUACUGUUUAGGAUAUCUAUAGAUUAAAGAUAUGUUUGGAAAAAGGAAAAAAGCAAACUAGGAAGAAGAAACCGUGAAUAAAUCUUUGCUUUCAUAAUUGAAAUAC
rnacentral:lncRNA from 1 species